UACGGAGGGUGCAAGCGUUAUCCGGAUUUAUUGGGUUUAAAGGGUCCGUAGGCGGAUCUGUAAGUCAGUGGUGAAAUCUCCGAGCUUAACUUGGAAACUGCCAUUGAUACUAUCAGUCUUGAAUAUUGUGGAGGUCAGCGGAAUAUGUCAUGUAGCGGUGAAAUGCUUAGAUAUGACAUAGAACACCAAUUGCGAAGGCAGCUGGCUACGCAUAUAUUGACACUGAGGCACGAAAGCGUGGGGAUCAAACAGG
rnacentral:rRNA from 1 species